rnacentral:rRNA from 1 species
AUUGAACGCUGGCGGCAGGCCUAACACAUGCAAGUCGAGCGGAUGAAGGGAGCUUGCUCCUGGAUUCAGCGGCGGACGGGUGAGUAAUGCCUAGGAAUCUGCCUGGUAGUGGGGGAUAACGUCCGGAAACGGGCGCUAAUACCGCAUACGUCCUGAGGGAGAAAGUGGGGGAUCUUCGGACCUCACGCUAUCAGAUGAGCCUAGGUCGGAUUAGCUAGUUGGUGGGGUAAAGGCCUACCAAGGCGACGAUCCGUAACUGGUCUGAGAGGAUGAUCAGUCACACUGGAACUGAGACACGGUCCAGACUCCUACGGGAGGCAGCAGUGGGGAAUAUUGGACAAUGGGCGAAAGCCUGAUCCAGCCAUGCCGCGUGUGUGAUGAAGGUCUGCGGAUUGUAAAGCACUUUAAGUUGGGAGGAAGGGCAGUAAGUUAAUACCUUGCUGUUUUGACGUUACCAACAGAAUAAGCACCGGCUAACUUCGU